AGAGUUUGUCCUGGCUCAGAUUGAACGCUGGCGGCAGGCCUAACACAUGCAAGUCGAGCGGUAGCACAGAGAGCUUGCUCUCGGGUGACGAGCGGCGGACGGGUGAGUAAUGUCUGGGAAACUGCCUGAUGGAGGGGGAUAACUACUGGAAACGGUAGCUAAUACCGCAUAAUGUCGCAAGACCAAAGUGGGGGACCUUCGGGCCUCAUGCCAUCAGAUGUGCCCAGAUGGGAUUAGCUAGUAGGUGGGGUAACGGCUCACCUAGGCGACGAUCCCUAGCUGGUCUGAGAGGAUGACCAGCCACACUGGAACUGAGACACGGUCCAGACUCCUACGGGAGGCAGCAGUGGGGAAUAUUGCACAAUGGGCGCAAGCCUGAUGCAGCCAUGCUGCGUGUGUGAAGAAGGCCUUCGGGUUGUAAAGCACUUUCAGCGGGGAGGAAGGCGUUAAGGUUAAUAACCUUGGCGAUUGACGUUACCCGCAGAAGAAGCACCGGCUAACUCCGUGCCAGCAGCCGCGGUAAUACGGAGGGUGCAAGCGUUAAUCGGAAUUACUGGGCGUAAAGCGCACGCAGGCGGUCUGUCAAGUCGGAUGUGAAAUCCCCGGGCUCAACCUGGGAACUGCAUUCGAAACUGGCAGGCUAGAGUCUUGUAGAGGGGGGUAGAAUUCCAGGUGUAGCGGUGAAAUGCGUAGAGAUCUGGAGGAAUACCGGUGGCGAAGGCGGCCCCCUGGACAAAGACUGACGCUCAGGUGCGAAAGCGUGGGGAGCAAACAGGAUUAGAUACCCUGGUAGUCCACGCCGUAAACGAUGUCGAUUUGGAGGUUGUGCCCUUGAGGCGUGGCUUCCGGAGCUAACGCGUUAAAUCGACCGCCUGGGGAGUACGACCGCAAGGUUAAAACUCAAAUGAAUUGACGGGGGCCCGCACAAGCGGUGGAGCAUGUGGUUUAAUUCGAUGCAACGCGAAGAACCUUACCUGGUCUUGACAUCCACAGAACUUUCCAGAGAUGGAUUGGUGCCUUCGGGAACUGUGAGACAGGUGCUGCAUGGCUGUCGUCAGCUCGUGUUGUGAAAUGUUGGGUUAAGUCCCGCAACGAGCGCAACCCUUAUCCUUUGUUGCCAGCGGUCCGGCCGGGAACUCAAAGGAGACUGCCAGUGAUAAACUGGAGGAAGGUGGGGAUGACGUCAAGUCAUCAUGGCCCUUACGACCAGGGCUACACACGUGCUACAAUGGCAUAUACAAAGAGAAGCGACCUCGCGAGAGCAAGCGGACCUCAUAAAGUAUGUCGUAGUCCGGAUUGGAGUCUGCAACUCGACUCCAUGAAGUCGGAAUCGCUAGUAAUCGUAGAUCAGAAUGCUACGGUGAAUACGUUCCCGGGCCUUGUACACACCGCCCGUCACACCAUGGGAGUGGGUUGCAAAAGAAGUAGGUAGCUUAACCUUCGGGAGGGCGCUUACCACUUUGUGAUUCAUGACUGGGGUGAAGUCGUAACAAGGUAACCGUA
rnacentral:rRNA from 2 species